GAUGAACGCUGGCGGCGUGCCUAAUACAUGCAAGUCGAGCGAACGGACGAGAAGCUUGCUUCUCUGAUGUUAGCGGCGGACGGGUGAGUAACACGUGUAUAACCUACCUAUAAGACUGGGAUAACUUCGGGAAACCGGAGCUAAUACCGGAUAAUAUUUUGAACCGCAUGGUUCAAAAGUGAAAGACGGUCUUGCUGGCACUUAUAGAUGGAUCCGCGCUGCAUUAGCUAGUUGGUAAGGUAACGGCUUACCAAGGCAACGAUGCAUAACCGACCUGAGAGGGUGAUCGGCCACAUGGGAACGGAGACACGGUCCAGACUCCUACGGGAGGCAGCAGUAGGGAAUCUUCCGCAAUGGGCGAAAGCCUGACGGAGCAACGCCGCGUGAGUGAUGACGGUCUUCGGAUCGUAAAACUCUGUUAUUAGGGAAGAACAUAUGUGUAAGUAACUGUGCACAUCUUGACGGUACCUAAUCAGAAAGCAACGGCUAACUACGUG
rnacentral:rRNA from 1 species